rnacentral:rRNA from 1 species
UACGUAGGGUGCGAGCGUUGUCCGGAAUUAUUGGGCGUAAAAGGGCUCGUAGGCGGUUUGUCGCGUCGGGAGUGAAACACCGGGCUUAACUCGGUGCUUGCUUUCGAUACGGGCAGACUAGAGGCAUGCAGGGGAGAACGGAAUUCCUGGUGUAGCGGGUGAAAUGCGCAGAUAUCAGGAGGAACACCUAUUGCGAAGGCAGCUCGCUGGGACGUAACUGACGCUGAGGAGCGAAAGCCAGGGGAGCAAACGGG